UGAGCGUCUCUAAGCUAUGGUAGAGACGCGGCGUACGGCUCAGUAACAUGUGGCCAACCUACCCUUAGGACGGGGACAACCCCGGGAAACUGGGGCUAAUACCCGAUAGGUGAGGAGGCCUGGAAUGGUUCCUAGUCGAAAAGGCGUUGAAACCAUGCUUUUCGACGUCGCCUAAGGAUGGGGCCGCGCCCGAUCAGGUUGUUGGUGGGGUAACGGCUCACCAAGCCUAUAACCGGUACGGGCCGUGAGAGCGGGAGCCCGGAGAUGGGCACUGAGACAAGGGCCCAGGCCCUACGGGGCGCAGCAGUCGCGAAAACUCCGCAAUGCGCGAAAGCGUGACGGGGCUAUCCCGAGUGCCGUCCGCUGAGGAUGGCUUUUCCCCGGUGUAAUGAGCCGGGGGAAUAAGGAGAGGGCAAGUCUGGUGUCAGCCGCCGCGGUAAUACCAGCUCUCCGAGUGGUAGGGAUGAUUAUUGGGCUUAAAGCGUCCGUAGCCGGCUUAGCAAGUCUCCUGUUAAAUUCAGCGACCUAAUCGUUGAGCCGCGGGAGAUACUACUAGGCUAGGAGGCGGGAGAGGCCGACGGUAUUCUCGGGGUAGGGGUGAAAUCCUAUA
rnacentral:rRNA from 1 species